rnacentral:tRNA from 1 species
CGGUGGACUGGCGCAAUGGAUAGCGCGUUAGACUUCGGAUCUAAAGGUUCCGAGUUCGAGUCUCGGGGCGCGGACCA